rnacentral:tRNA from 1 species
UCCUUGGUCGCUCAGACAGUAAAGAAUCUGCCUGCAAUGCAGGAGGCCUGGGUUCAAUUCCUAGGUCAGGAA